rnacentral:rRNA from 1 species
UGUGUCAGAGGGGGGUAGAAUUCCACGUGUAGCAGUGAAAUGCGUAGAGAUGUGGAGGAAUACCGAUGGCGAAAGCAGCCCCCUGGGAUAACACUGACGCUCAUGCACGAAAGCGUGGGGAGCAAACAGGAUUAGAUACCCUGGUAGUCCACGCCCUAAACGAUGUCAACUAGUUGUUGGGGAUUCAUUUCCUUAGUAACGUAGCUAACGCGUGAAGUUGACCGCCUGGGGAGUACGGUCGCAAGAUUAAAACUCAAAGGAAUUGACGGGGACCCGCACAAGCGGUGGAUGAUGUGGAUUAAUUCGAUGCAACGCGAAAAACCUUACCUACCCUUGACAUGCCACUAACGAAGCAGAGAUGCAUUAGGUGCUCGAAAGAGAAAGUGGACACAGGUGCUGCAUGGCUGUCGUCGGCUCGUGUCGUGAGAUGUUGGGUUAAGUCCCGCAACGAGCGCAACCCUUGUCUCUAGUUGCUACGAAAGGGCACUCUAGAGAGACUGCCGGUGACAAACCGGAGGAAGGUGGGGAUGACGUCAAGCCCUCAUGGCCCUUAUGGGUAGGGCUUCACACGUCAUACAAUGGUGCAUACAGAGGGUUGCCAAGCCGCGAGGUGGAGCUAAUCCC